rnacentral:lncRNA from 1 species
UCUGAGCUAAGUAUAAGGCCCGAUGAUUAGACGAGGUCAAGGUAAAGUAAAGCCUGACGUAUGGCGAGCUCUAAAGUUUAUAAGUAGAUAAACUAUUGUUCGCCCCACUAGUGCUCAUGGCGUGUACGUGGGCGCGUAAUCAAUAUCGAAUUGUAAUGCAAAAAUCCCUUAGAAGGGAAUGAGUUAAUAAGAAAGAAAGCUUAGUUGGAUAUUGAGGAAACACAGAUACUAGGGUCGCCGCCAAGAAGGCAUAAUGUGCCAAGUGCGACUAGUUGGAUUGCUCGUACGUGUUUC